ACAGAGGGUGCGAGCGUUAAUCGGAAUUAUUGGGCGUAAAGGGCGUGUAGGUGGACUUACAAGUUUGAUGUGAAAGCCCCGGGCUUAACCUGGGAACGGCGUUGAAGACUGUAAGACUAGAGUUGGACAGAGGGUAGUGGAAUUUCCGGUGUAGCGGUGAAAUGCGUAGAGAUCGGAAAGAACACCCGUGGCGAAGGCAGUCGGCUGGGCCGUUGCUGACACUGAGGCGCGACAGCGUGGGGAGCAAACAGGA
rnacentral:rRNA from 1 species